rnacentral:lncRNA from 1 species
CAGUCACCACAGACUUCUUUUCCUUAUAAAAUAAUGCCUAUUCAACACACCAUGUCUGUGCAAAGUGCGUCAAGUACUGUCAAAAAGAAAAAAGAAACAGUUUCUAAAACCACUAACAGAUGUGAGGCUUCGAGCCAAAGGCAUAUGAUCUGUGAAGAGUCUGGUAAUAAGAGUUCUGCAGGUAUUAUGAAUGCCGAGGCGGCAACAAAAUUUUGACAGAAUUACGCCGCCUUGCUCGUGAACAAAAGAAAAGAGGAAGAAGAAAGACAACAGGAAGAAAUGCAGGGAAGGGUCAUUAAGAAAUCAAAAGACGUGGCAAAGGAAGCAGUUGGAGGCCAAGCAGAAGACCUCUUAAAACUCAAAGAUGGGCAGCGACCAAAGGAUACUAAAAAGAAGAAAGGAUGGUUGGAUCAGGAAGACCAGGAAGCACCACUGCAGGUCACAGAAACAUCCAGCCAUGACAUAUAUGAAGAGGCUGAGGCUGACAACGAAGAAAGCGACAAGGACUCAUUGAAUGAAAUGUUUCCAUCAGGUUAGUCACAAUUUAGGAGCUAGACUGCUUAGGUUCAUAUCCAGGGGCUCCUCUGCUUUUGAGCUGUGUGGCUUUGGGCAGGUCACUUAACCUUUCUGUGCUGAGUUUUCCCAUCUGAAAAGGGGAAGUCAAUGUCGUUUUCCUAGAGUAGAUAUGAGAUUUCAGUGAGGUAAAUCCAUGUAAUGCUAAAACAGUGUCUGACACAUAAACUCUCAAUAAAUAACAGUUGCUGCUGCUUAUUAUUUUAAAGAUCAUGCUAAUAGACUGCAGACAGCAGCUCUUUCUCAGUUGAAUGUG